UACGGAGGGUGCGAGCGUUGUCCGGAAUCACUGGGCGUAAAGGGCGCGUAGGCGGCCUGAUAAGUAGGGGGUGAAAUCCUGCGGCUUAACCGCAGGGCUGCCUUCUAAACUGUCAGGCUCGAGCACAGUAGUGGCAGGUGGAAUUCCCGGUGUAGCGGUGGAAUGCGUAGAGAUCGGGAAGAACAUCAGUGGCGAAGGCGGCCUGCUGGGCUGUUGCUGACGCUGAGGCGCGACAGCGUGGGGAGCAAACAGG
rnacentral:rRNA from 1 species